rnacentral:rRNA from 1 species
UACGUAGGGGGCAAGCGUUGUCCGGAUUUAUUGGGCGUAAAGAGCGUGUAGGCGGCCUGGCAGGUCAGCUGUGAAAACUCGAGGCUCAACCUCGAGACGUCGGUUGAAACCACCUGGCUAGAGUCCGGAAGAGGAGAGUGGAAUUCCCGGUGUAGCGGUGAAAUGCGCAGAUAUCGGGAAGAACACCCGUGGCGAAGGCGGCUCUCUGGGACGGUACUGACGCUGAGGUGCGAAAGCGUGGGGAGCAAACAGG